CCCCGGUAAACGGCGGCCGUAACUAUAACGGUCCUAAGGUAGCGAAAUUCCUUGUCGGGUAAGUUCCGACCUGCACGAAUGGCGUAAUGAUGGCCAGGCUGUCUCCACCCGAGACUCAGUGAAAUUGAACUCGCUGUGAAGAUGCAGUGUACCCGCGGCAAGACGGAAAGACCCCGUGAACCUUUACUAUAGCUUGACACUGAACAUUGAGCCUUGAUGUGUAGGAUAGGUGGGAGGCUUUGAAGUGUGGACGCCAGUCUGCAUGGAGCCGACCUUGAAAUACCACCCUUUAAUGUUUGAUGUUCUAACGUGGACCCGUAAUCCGGGUUGCGGACAGUGUCUGGUGGGUAGUUUGACUGGGGCGGUCUCCUCCUAAAGAGUAACGGAGGAGCACGAAGGUUGGCUAAUCCUGGUCGGACAUCAGGAGGUUAGUGCAAUGGCAUAAGCCAGCUUGACUGCGAGCGUGACGGCGCGAGCAGGUGCGAAAGCAGGUCAUAGUGAUCCGGUGGUUCUGAAUGGAAGGGCCAUCGCUCAACGGAUAAAAGGUACUCCGGGGAUAACAGGCUGAUACCGCCCAAGAGUUCAUAUCGACGGCGGUGUUUGGCACCUCGAUGUCGGCUCAUCACAUCCUGGGGCUGAAGUAGGUCCCAAGGGUAUGGCUGUUCGCCAUUUAAAGUGGUACGCGAGCUGGGUUUAGAACGUCGUGAGACAGUUCGGUCCCUAUCUGCCGUGGGCGCUGGAGAACUGAGGGGGGCUGCUCCUAGUACGAGAGGACCGGAGUGGACGCAUCACUGGUGUUCGGGUUGUCAUGCCAAUGGCACUGCCCGGUAGCUAAAUGCGGAAGAGAUAAGUGCUGAAAGCAUCUAAGCACGAAACUUGCCCCGAGAUGAGUUCU
rnacentral:rRNA from 2 species